ACUCAAAGGAAUUGACGGGGACCCACACAAGCAGUGGAUCAUGUUGUUUAAUUCGACAAUAAACGAGAAACCUCACCCAGGCUUGACAUCGAAGGAAUCCGCUGGAAACAGUGGAGUACCCGCAAGGGACCCGAAGACAGGCGCUGCAUGGUUGUCGUCAGCUCGUGCCUUGAGGUGUUCGGUUAAGUCCGUUAACGAGCGCAACCCAUGUCGUUAGUUACUAUGUCUAACGAGACUGCCUGAGUUAAUCAGGAGGAAGGUGUGGAUGACGUCAAAUCAGCAUGGCCCUUAUGCCUGGGGCUACAAACAUGAUACAAUGGUCGGUACAAUGUGCAGCAAACCCGCGAGGGUGAGCCAAUCACCAAAGCCGAUCUCAGUCCAGAUUGGAGUCUGCAACUCGACUCCAUGAAGUUGGAAUUGCUAGUAAUCGUGAAUCAGCUAUGUCACGGUGAAUCCGUUCCUGGGUCUUGUACACACCGCCCGU
rnacentral:rRNA from 1 species